GCAGAGAGGAGCGCGGAGGUGAAAUAGUGAAGUUUAAGGAUGCCUUCAGUAUGUUGUUAAUGUGAUUUUAUGGGCAAUUUAUCAGUCGAGGUCUCCUCCUCUGCAAAGCAAACUGACCCGGUGGCUACAGGUAAUAGCGCAGUUUUGAAGCCACUGUUUUUCCGAGAUGAAGGACUGAUUGUUGAGCUGCUGUUAACAGUUAACUAAAUUAACUAAUUUGCAUAUUGUGGCGUCACUAGGUGGUGGCCAUAUUGGAUUUCAUAAAUCUCAGUAAAACAGCAUUUUGAACGUAUUUACACAGUAGAUUUCUUUUGUUUUGUGCUGUUUUUGUCAUCUCAUCCUCAAAAUAAAGGAACAGGAAUCUGAUGGGAGUAAAUUAACUCAUCUAAUUUGCAUAUUGUGGCAUCACUAGGCGGCGGCCAUAUUGGAUUUCAUAAAUCUCAGUAAAACAUCCAAAGAUUCAAAUCAUUCAAACUUUAUUUUAUUAAAGGCAGCUAUUCAGUGUGGCGUCAGCUUUUCAACAAACUUUCAAACAUUCAAAUCAUUCAAACUUUAUUGUAUUCUAGGCAGCACUGCAGCGUGGCUUCAGCUUGCAGCAUUCACACGCGCAAUUUCUUCAGAAAUUGCUUCUCUAGUUACAUUAUGAACUUUUAUUACAUUUAAGUAUUAUGAGCCGUUAUUAUUAGCCAUUAUUACAUUAUGAGUUGCUACAUAACACCUCGAAGGGCACUAUCAUUAUUUUAAAUCUACUAACGGUACAGAAAAGUGCUAACAUAAAAAUAGGAAUGUGUAGUACUGUAGCGUUACACCACAUGUGAAUGACUGUAGCCUAGGCUGACCAAACGUCCUCUUUUGCCCGGACAUGUCCACUUUUGACAUCUUGUCCGGGGCGUGCGGGGGGUGUUUAUAAAUUGAUGAUAAUGUCCGGUUUUCCUUGUGUGUGUGUGUGUGUGUGUGUGUGUGUUAGAGUGCGGCACGGGCUGCAUAUUUCUGUCCAAACCCGUCCGAACCCGACAGUCAUUCUGUUUUGUUAUGUCCGAAACCGAACCGAGCUUUGGAUUCCUCCACACCAUCCAAUGUGAGGUGCCUCUUUAUGAGGCUGGACAAGAUUGAAAAUUCUAUCUCCAACAUUGUGUCCAUUUUAAUGAAAGAUAUGAGAUCUGAAGACCCUGAGAUUGAAGAGCUUUCCAGGCCACUAAACACUACAGAAGAACUUGAAGAAGCUUGUGAAAAGCUAAGUGACGCUGCUUACAUAAAGAAAGUGGUAUGUGCAAUGUUGCUGUGUGUGCAAAACAGCCACUUCGUAGUGAAUAUAGAUGUGAACAAUUUUUUGAAGUUGCAUUUCAUGAUUUAUGUACUUUAAAGUCUUGAAGCACUCUGAUUUUCAGUGAAUAAUAACCACUUGCAUUUAUUUUGGAUUUGGCUAUACUGUACAAUAAUUAGUGAUGGGUAUUGUUAGGGCUGGACGAUUAAUCGAAUUUUAAUCAUGAUUUCGAUUUUGGCUUCUCACGAUCAUAAAAACAUUAUAAUCGAAGAAAAACGAUUAACGCGCCGCGUGGCGUGUAUGUAAGUGAAUGCACCUGUGUUAUGUGCAGCAGCAGCAAGCGUGUGACGUGUGUGGAUCAAUAAUAUGUGGAGCGAGCGAUUGAGAACAUGGCAGAAAGGUAGGACAACUUCAGUCAUCUGUCAUUGUCACGCUGUCGUGUCUGCCCCCCAAGACAACACGAGCGGGAAAAAAAAAGUCCAAAAAAGUUAAUAACUUACAAAUUAUGGCGAAAAGGUGGUUUCUUGCAACCCUAGAAUUAAGAUAAAAAUAUUCACAAACAAAAAAACACUUCUGGUUGCUGAUAAGUAGUGUUUAACUUUUGAUUUAACACUAAAAAUUAAAACCCUCGGUGCGCACAGCAGCGCAAGCAGACGGAUGCGCGACUCAGAGCAGCAUGUGUCACUGACACCAGACUGGUGGAAAAUGUCACCAUCAGCAUAUUAUUUUACAUCAAUAAAAUCUAUUUUAUCGUUAUUUUGAGUCACACUGUUGAAAGAAUUUAGCUGUCUGUGUUCAAGCAAGAUAAUAGGUCUCCAUCAAGCCCCAACCUCCGGGGGAGACGAGUGAGGCCAAUGCGGAAGUGCCAAAAACUGCAGUUCACUGACUGUCCACUUGAGGCUGGCUCCGGAAGUGAGUCAAUUCCCAUAGACCCCCAUGUUAAAAUGCCCAGCUUUAGAGCAGCCUGGUACAAAAAAUGGUUUUGGUCUGUAUAGUUAAUUUCCCCUUUCAUGACAACUGAAAUAUUUAAAUGUUAUUAAGGUUUGAAAUUGCGCAUAAUUAAGGGCGUGGUCACUUUGAGUGACAGGUCGCACCAUCACGGGUGGCUAACUAGCAUGCUAACUAGCCGCUGGCUUCGCUGCGCUGAGCUCGGCGUAGCUGAGCUCAGACUCGGCCGUCUGCUCGGCGUCAUCUCAACCAAUUCGUGCCCAUGUUCAAGGCAUUGAACCUGUCCUCUCAGCCGUGUUUGUGCCUUUUGGAUAUUUUUUCAGGCAAAUAUUGGAGUAAUAUGGCUUGCUGUUCGAUUAAUUAUACCAACAGACCGUCCAAGAAGUCUGUGCUCCAGGUUUUUCGUUUUCCUCUAGGUGACCCAGACAGACUGGACCAGUGGACACUCAACACGAGGAGACAGAACUGGACUCCAAACAAGACUUCCCGUCUGUGCAAUGAACACUUUGAGAGUCAUCACUUCAGCACUGACUCCAGGAUAAAGACACCUUUUUUCAUACAGUACCUCACAAAGAGUCAAGAAACUUAUUAGUUUAAAAUGAUGAAUUAUUGUCCAUAAUACAUUUUAAAUGCAUUACAUAAAUUACUAAUUGUCAUACAUUACUAAGUACUCAAUUAGGGCACAGCUUCCUCUGUACUAUUACUGAUAAGGUGAAAUUACUGACACGCCAGUGCAGUUUAGUGUUCCCCUGAUGCAAAAGGCCAAAUGAAGAUUUUAUCAAUCAAGGAACAUGACAUGUAUUUACCAACUUUAACAUUUUAGUGCCUUUUAUGCAAAGACCCUUUAUCAAAGUGAGAAUUGCUACCUUUUCCCCCACACACAGUCUGUGAAGAACCAAUGGAAAAAAUAUUCUCAUGAGACAGCCGAACAUAGCAUGAUUCCACAGUGGCAGUGAGCUUUGAUAACAGUUCAGUUUCCUUUUGAUAGCAACAAUUAUUUUAAUGUGAAUGAAUUGCAUGUUGUACAUUCAUACUCCAGUUGUUUUGAGAGUACAGUUAAAUUUAAAAUCACAUUCAAAUAUAAAGUCAAAUAUCUACAGAACUUAAACACAAAACUAUUUUAUGAAUGACAGCCACUUACUCAGCAAUAAGAUCAUUUUGGUGGUGAGUGGGCUUUUAACCAAGACAGGCUGUAGUCAAUGUUUUCUACCUGUGUUUUUAACCUGUCAUCUUUUUCUCUUGUAGGACACUUGAGGAAAGUUACAACGCCUCGACCAAUUUGAUGUUUGCUCCACAGUAAAGAGGUUGUUUCACAAGAAAUUAAGAUUUUGCAAAUUAUGACACUGGGUCCUAAUCCAUAGGUUUUAUAAUUACUGUUAUAAGUCUUUUCAUUUAUUUCAUGUGUACUUUUUUUUAACCUUUUAAUAGUGAUGAUUUCAUGAAUGCAAGCUUUGACUUAAUUUUGUUAAACUGUUUGUGUAAUGGUUAUAACUUUUGCUAUAUAAAAUGGAUCAGACAAAAUUUACUUCAGAGUAAAAGCAAAUUUUUUGAAAGCUGUCAUUCAUCAGUUUCCUGUGAUGAUUGGAAAUAUAGUGGUGAUUUAAACCAUUAACAAAAUAUAAUCGUUAUUAAUGGAAUCUUAAUGUUUUCAUUUAUGUCUUAACAUUUACCCAAGUUUGCAUUUAUCUUAGCAGAAUGUAAAAAAAAAAUGAAAAGCUGAUGUUAUGUGCUGGUUUUGUUUGAACAUUUCUUUAAGACAAAUGAAGAAAAUUUCACUGAGAAACUAUUCUCCUUUUGUGAAAAACAAGGAAAUAUUUGCACACUGAAUAGUUUUAAGUCCCGUAGGAGGUAUUAUUUAUUUGUGACGUUGUGACAUAUGAGAAGGUUCUGUGGGUAUUGCUCGGUAUUGAGGCUUAUAUAGUGAGGCUAAAAAAAACAACACAUAAUUGGCUGAUUAUCUUUCUGUUUGCCUCACUAUGAAAACUUCACGAUACCUUUGCCUGAGGAAGACCCUCUCAGAGUUGGCAACAUAGUGAACAAGUGAUACCUCCUUGGGGGCUUCAAAACUAUUGUGUCCAGCUAAUUCUUUGUUUUUCACUUUGAGCCCUUUUAUCCAGUCACAUUCUUCUGUGUUAAAACUAGACUUCUAACAGAGCAGCAAACAAAGGUUACUCUCCAAAAUCUUCUCAGGCUCUGCUGCUGGGUGUAAGGUGCUUAGUUAUCUUCAAGUACAAAGUUAAAAUAAUCAGGCCCACACAGAAAUGGACUGCUUAAUUUUUUGUCAGUGACAAUGUUAAACAUUAAUGCUUAAUGUUUUAUCUGUAGUGUAUGAUUUGUUUGUCCUUUCAAUUGACAGUCAGAUUUGAUUGUGAAAUACAACAUUCAGUCAGUAACAAAGACAAAAGGAGUGCAAAUAUAAAUAGAAUUUAUUGAAAUUUUAAACAAGUUAUAGAUGAAUAUCAAAAACUCAACAUUAGCCAUGACAGCCUGGGCUAUGUUCAGGCCUAACAAAAUGUGUCCUAAAGGCCAAAUUCAAAAGCAGUGACACUGCCAACUGUAAGCAGUUCACUGCGUUUGGAGGUGGUCUUUAAGACAAUUAACUAAUUUACUUAAAAACAUAUAAUUUCUCCUAGGUGUGAGAUGAAUGUGUCUGAUGUGAGGGUGCUCAAUUAUGGCACCAUUUAAACUAUGAACAAAUGUAGCCAUAACACUGUAAACACAUUUCCUGGCCUUAUCAAUCUUUGCUGGAUUGCCACCAGCCUCCCACCUGCACCUUUGGGCCAAUGAAGAAAAUAUUAUCUUAAUGCCAGGAUGCUGGAGGUGAAGCUGGUGCAGGUCCUCCUUCAUCAUGCUGACCAGCUUGGCACUGCUGACCUUCCCCAUGUCAUUGCCGCCACAGUGGGUGAUGAGGACAUCUGGUGCUGCUCUUCCUCGCAGGGAGUGGGAAAAGAAGGAGAGAAGGCCUCCCCACUGCAGUCCACCCCAGCCAAACCAGCAGACAUGGACGCCCGGCAUGCUGAGGGUGCUUCCCAAGGUCUCUGCAGCUCUCUGGACACUACACCGGACAUAGCUGUCACCAAUGAUCCACACUAUGC